ACAGCUGAAGGGACACGGACAGGAGAAAGUCCCAAAUGGUCACAGGGUUGGGCUUCCUGGACGUGCUAUCCCUGCCUUCACUGGACGGCGGAUGGGUGGAGGGAGCUGGAAGGCAGGAGGAAACCCCCAAGUGUGUUAUGUCUGGUUCUCAGUUUCCCUGAGGAAGGAACUGAGGCAGCAGGAAAGGACCUAGGAGCCCCAGGUGCUCCCUCAGAGACCCCGCACCUACCCGGAAGCGGCCAUCCCACGUGGCCCCUGGUGGGUACCUGGCAGAGAGGCCCAGGCUGGUCCUGGACAGUCCAGCUGCCUCUGCCCCCCUCUCCCUGCCCAUCUGGGCUUGGCGCUGCUGCUCUGCUGUGUCCUUGCUUUAACCAGCUGCCUGCCUGGCACAGAGGACUUCUGCUGGACCCUCUGGGUCCUCGGGCUGGGGCCGGCGAGGGAGUUGAGUCUGUUUACUCCACGCUACCCCCGGCCCCACUCCCUCCCCGCUCCCCCCUCCCGCUUCUCCCCUCCCCUCCAUGGCACAAGGCAGAGCACUCAGUUAGAUUAAUUAAUCUGCUGCCCAGGCUGCUCCUCCGACCCAUCUUUUAUUCAUGGACAAGCAGCGUUCUCUGCUUUACCAGGACACGACCAUCAAUAUUUCAUCCUCGCCUCGCCUGCCAGCCUCCUGCUCCCCCCUUCCUGCCUCCCACCCGCUCUAAGACCCUGGGCGGGGGCAAGCGGGCCUAGCCCAGGGCGUCCUCACAGAUGCCCCUCAGCCUGCUCUCCGUGCCAUCGUUGGCAGAGCCAGCGUCCGAGCCAGAAGGCUUUCUGAGUAAGUGAGCUGGGGAGGCGGCUCCAGCAGGAUCAGGUGGGGUUGAGGGUGUGUGUGUGGCGGGGUGGUGCUGUAGCUGCCAUGAUGGUUUUGCCACCGUAUUGCUGAGUGGUUGUCAGGAUAGGAGAUGAGGGUUGUGCCUGGCACAGAUCUGGGCCCAUGGCAAGUGCUCAUUUUCCUGCCUUCAUUUUCCCCUUAGAUCAGGUGUUAAUCAGUGUGUUUUUCCACCCCCAUUCUAGGCGGUUGGAUGAAGGAAGUGAUGCCAGAGUUCAGGAGCACACCUUCCCUUCGCCAGCACCCAGCCCAUCUCACCUGUCUGCUUCGGGGCUCUCCAGCCUUCCGUGUGGCUGCUCAGGACCACAGGGGCUGAACCUCAGAUCUGGAGGGGCCCUUACCUGUAUCCUUGCCUGGGGUCCAUGGAGACCCUCUCUCAGGGGGUGUGAACCCUUGAAAUCACUAAAGCCAUGAAUGGGGUAUGUGUGUGUACGUGUAUAUGUGUUUUCAGGGAAGGGAGCAGCCCUGGCUUCCAUCAGAUUCUCAGUGGAGUCUCUAAGCCAUAAAAUGUUACAAACUACUAAAAUCUAGGCAGGUCAGAUCUCCUCUUCUUGGUGUGGAGGGAAGAGAAUGAAUGGGAUUACUCGUUCAGGGAGCCACCUCUGAGGUUUGAGUGAGUGUGGUGGGUGCUGAGGGGUGCUGGGGUCACAGAGGGAUGCCCUGCAGUCCUGCCCUGGAGGUGCUGGCAGAGUGUGGAGCCGGGAUGGAAGCAGUAACUCUCAGGUGGCCUUUGGACAGGCUGUGGGUCUUUCUCAGGCUGGUGGCUGGUGGCUGGCACUUUAUCUCUGCGUUGGGACUGGGGUCCAAGCGCCUGCUGAGCUGAGCCCUUGGGUGGGGGCUAGGAAUUGCUCUGUCCCUGGCUUGUGCAGAAAGGCAGAGCACCGAAUGCCCCUCUCUCCGUGAGGGCCAGCUGAGGCGUCCUAUUGUCCUCCUUUCAUCACACCCUGUACCGGAUCCAUCAGGAACCCCUACCUGCUAACCCUCCAAUACUUCUGGAAUCUGACCUCUCCCGCCUUUGGCUGCCACCUGGUCUCUGCCCCACUGUGGCCUCUGCCUGGUCUCUCACUCUCUCCUAUGUGCCCUACAGCCUGUGCUCAGCGCAGCAGCCGUGACCUCUCUGGCCAUGAGCCCACCUGGCCUGCACCUGGCUCACCUGUGCCAGCCACCCUGACCCCCACAUGCCAGCAGGCUCCACCUGGGCCUCUGCACCUUUUCUCUCCCAAGCGUCCUCCUGGCUCACUCUCUCACCUCCUUCUGGUCUCUGCUGAGGUGCCACUCAGCCCCACCCCUCAACCCCUGACUUUUAAUUCCUCCCCCAGCACACAUCGUCUCCCAGCAUCCUGCUUACUCUGUUGUCCACAAUCGCUGUAUACAUUUCGUUUCCUGCUCACACAAUGAAAGCUCCCUGAGGGCAGGAACUUUAAGAUUUUGUUCACUGAUUCAUCCCAGAGGAGUGCUCACUAGGAAGGGGCUCAAUAAAUAUUGUGGGAUGAAUGAACA
rnacentral:lncRNA from 1 species